AAGUUUGCAAUUUGUUGUACCAUUCUGGGUGAUUGGAACAUUUACAUAGCACCAAGCACCAAUAUGUGAAGUUACUGCGAUGAGAACAGGAUUGAAGCAACAUCACUGCAAUGACAACUUUGCAAUGGUCAAGGUAUUCACAGAUAUGUGAAGUUACUCUGAUGAAAACAACAAUGUUGGUAACAUCACUGCAAUGACAACUUAACAAGGGUCAACGCUAAUACUUUGACCCCAUUCGAUAUAUCCUGAGUCGAGGAGUACUCUUCCGGUUUAUGGCUGUAAC
rnacentral:lncRNA from 1 species